UAAGGGUCAAUAUCUAAGGUAAAGACUAAAGAAAAACUGCAUGUCAUUCUAGCCUAAACUAGAAUGUCCAGUUUGUCUGGUCUUCUGUGACUGUCUGUGUUGAACAGUUGAGAGGCAGUGUAAAUUUAUAAAUCUGUUUCAGAAUAAAUAUUCAUACUUUUUGCAGAAGUAAAGAUCAGAUAUGAUCACAUUUAUACUUUGAUACAGAUAAAGUUAAGGGGGACAAAAUAAUGAUUUGUUUUGUAAAACAUUUCCCUUUGUCAUAUUUGCAUAGAAGCCACUCCCUAGUACUCUCAUUCAGUACAUGCAUAACUUCAAACAUAACCUGUUUUACAGUGAAUCUUUGACUGGGUUUGAAAGCUCCAAAAUGGCACAAUUUUGUUUUGAUGCUGAAAAUCCUUUAAACUGUCCGAUCUGUCUGAAUCUGCUUACGGACCCAGUGACUACAUCUUGUGGCCACAGUUACUGUAUGGACUGCAUUGAGAGAUCCUGGGAUCAGGAGGUUUAUAGAGGAGUUUACAGCUGCCCCAAAUGCAGGACAAAAUUCAACCAAAGACCAACUCUCAGCAGAAGCACAGUGCUAGCUGAAAUUGUAGAUGGAAUGAACCAGGAGGAUCCAGCUGGCCCUGAAGAUGUGCAGUGCGAUGUUUGCAAAGGAAGAAAACUAAAAGCCAUCAAGUCUUGUCUGGUGUGUUUGGCUUCUUACUGCCAAUCUCACAUUCAGCCUCAUUAUGAGUCUGAAGCUUUUAGAAAGCACAAGCUGGUAAACGCUUCCUCAAAUCUACAGCAGCAGAUCUGCCCUCAACAUCAUAAAGCACUGGAGAUUUUCUGUCAGGAUGACCAGAAGUGUAUAUGUGUCGUUUGUUUGGGGGAUCAGCACAGUGGACAUAAAGCAGUCUCAGCUGCAGAUGAAAUGGAUAAAAAACAGGAGGAACUGAAAAUAAAACAGAAAGAUUUCAUGCAGGAAGCUAAGGACAGAGAAAAGAGGGUUCAAACGCUGAAGAAAGCUGUAGAGUCUCAUAAGGCAGCGGUGCAGCACAGUGAGAGGAUCUUUGAUGAGCUCAUCAGCUCCAUUCAGAAAAGACAAGCUGAGAUGAGAGAGAAGAUCAGUGCUCAAGAGAAGGAAGUACAAGAAGUUGAGAAUCAUAUACAGACACUGGAGCAGGAGAUCAGAACUCUGCAGAAGGAUAACGAUACAUUGGAGCCACUUUUGCAUACAGAGGAUCACAUUCAUUUCUUCCAGAAUUACCCUUCCUGUUCGGAAUUCCUUUCAUACACAAUCUUACUAAAGGAUUUUAAUAAUCUCCUGACAACUGAGAAUGUAAACAAAUCUCUCUCAGAAUUGAAAGGCCAACUGGAUAAAAUAUGUGAAGAGCACAUGGGAAGAAAGUCAGUUGGUGAUAUUUUGAAGUCAAAAAUAGUUUCCGUUUCGAGAAGAAGAGCAACUGUCAGGGAAGUUGAGGGCCAUCCAUUGUAUAUAACAACUCGGUCAUCGGAGCACCAUCAGUCAGAUAUAAGAGCUCGGCCAUCGGAGCGCCAUCAGUCGGAUAUAAGAACUCGGUCUUUGGAGCGCCAUCAAUCGGAUAUAAGACCUCGGUCAUCGGGUAAGCAUUUGCAUUUCGAACGACUGAACAGUUUUGAUUAUGAAUAUAUGCUUUGCCUUGUAAUGUGUGAGGUUUUUUUUUUGUUUGUUUGUUUUGUUUUUGUUUGUUUUUUUUUUAUUUACAUUUUGCUAUAUUGUUGCUGAAGUGUAAUCAGUGGUUAUUUGGUGGUUGCUUAUUUGUCCACAGUAAGUCAAAACAACCUACUUUGAAGAUUCUAUGAUCAUAAGAGGACAAAAGCUGUAAAAGAAAAUGUAUACAAAAGUGUAUACAUUUUUAUUCAUUUAACAGUGUGUAAGGGAAGAAAAAAACAAAACAAAAGAGAUGCAUACUAAACAUAAUUUUAGACUUUAAUUCAUGUUUGCACUCUUUACCCACUGAAACAUGCUUGUUUAACUUUUAAAAUGAAGAAAUCUCCCCUGAUUUCAGCUUUCUGUAAAAGAGGGAAAGCAGUAUGGCCCAGGACCUAUGAUCGGAUGUACGAUGAUUACUGGCACAUAUCUGAUGAUGAUGAUCUCUAUGGAUAGAUGGAGAUGUUUCCACUUAUCUCCUGAUGAUACUUUAAAGCAUCUGGAACUCAUCAGUUCCAAAGUACAGUGAAAGGUCAGAGUAUUACAGCACAAAAAAAAAAAAUAAAAAUAUUGGACAUGAUCUGCAUUCAAGUUAGGCUAAUGAACUGUACUGCUUGGUUGAAGAAUUGUGUAUGAUUAUUAAUUAUUAAUUAACAUGAUUAAAAUACCUUUAAUUGUUUAUUCAGAAUUGCUCCUGUUUUAUUAAAGCAGUUUGCGUGUUAUAGUGAACAUGUCUUGGAUAAAUCACAUUCAAUAAUAAUGAACAAAAGUAUCCAAAUGCAUAAGAAUGUGUCAGCACACACUGAGAACACAUUAGUGAACGUAUUUAGUGAUCAGAUCAAAAUAUUUUAGACAUCAUUUACUGCUUUGUUUAGUGCUGAUCAAAUAUGAUAUAAAUUAAAGAACAAUAGCACAGUGUAUUCAUCAAUUUAGACAAAGUGAUCCAUUUGGUGUGUUUUGGCAUGUUCUUCAUGGUGGGAGGAAACGAGAUGUCUAUAACACUUGUAGGUAUUUUUAGCAUCUUAAAUGGGACAGCCACUUUAUUGCAAUAACCAGAUUACUGAUCAAAUUUAAACCUGUGCUACUUGCUCCUGUGGAACACAAGAGAAGAUAUUUUAAUUAAUGUUGGACCUCACUAACUGUUUUUUUUUUUUUAUUAACAAAAAACACUGUGAAACACCUUUUGUCUUUGUGUUCCAUGGAAGAAAGAAAUGUAUACAAUAUUGGGGUGAGUUAAUUAAGACAUAUUUUACAUUUUUGGGUGAACUUUGCCUUUAUUGAUGUGAUGUCCUGCAAAACCUUGCCUUUUAGUUUUAAUUUGAAAGGUCUUUUUGUCUGAAUUUGAAUGUCAGCUAAACAUGCAUAAUAAUUUUUACAAUAUUCAAUAUUAAUAUAAGAUGUUCUUUGUGCAGAUGAAGUUAUUUGAUAUUGUUUAAAUAAUGUUCUUACAAAACACAAAAAAAACAAAUAAAAAAACUAAAUUUCAGAAAAACAAACAAACACGGGGGGUCGGUCAAACAUUUAUUUGGCCUAAUCGUACAACAUCUUAUUAACACCUGGAAAUGUUAGCAAAAUAAAGAGUCAGAAAAUGUAUGUACAGAGACUUAACAGAACAAAAAUAUAUAUUUAAUAAAAGCAGUGGUUUAAUUCCUCUUUGUCACAAACUUUGAAAUGUAUACCUGGAUCUGAUUAAAACUGUAAAACAUCAUUAAAAACAGACUAAGACUAAAACCUGUUCACUUGCCCAGAUCUUCUGACACCCUACAGUUUUUAGGGCUAAAAAAAAUUGGAAUGUAGAGCUAUUUAAACACUUUAAAAAGAGAUUUAUUUAUUUAUUUUUUUGUAGAUUUACAUUGUCCCAUAUCCAUCUCUUAAGUGGACAAUUUGUCAUUUCACUCAUCAGCCCUGAACAAUCAAGGAUCGAAUGAAGUUUAAAGAGAAAAAUGACUGAAAAGACUGUGAACAGGGAGCCAUGCUCUUCCAUCCGCUGCUCUUCCUCUGAGGCGGAAAUUCCUUCAGUCUUUCCAAUCCAUAAACAGAGCAAUUCCCGGCCCAUUUCCCCCC